rnacentral:tRNA from 1 species
UCCCUGGUGAUUCAGCAGUUAGAACGCUGUGCUUCCACUGUUGAGGGCCUGGGUUCAAUCCCUGGUCAGGGAA